GACGAACGCUGGCGGCGUGCCUAAUACAUGCAAGUCGAGCGAGCGGAACUAACAGAUUUACUUCGGUAAUGACGUUAGGAAAGCGAGCGGCGGAUGGGUGAGUAACACGUGGGGAACCUGCCCCAUAGUCUGGGAUACCACUUGGAAACAGGUGCUAAUACCGGAUAAGAAAGCAGAUCGCAUGAUCAGCUUUUAAAAGGCGGCGUAAGCUGUCGCUAUGGGAUGGCCCCGCGGUGCAUUAGCUAGUUGGUAAGGUAAAGGCUUACCAAGGCGAUGAUGCAUAGCCGAGUUGAGAGACUGAUCGGCCACAUUGGGACUGAGACACGGCCCAAACUCCUACGGGGGGCAGCAGUAGGGAAUCUUCCACAAUGGACGCAAGUCUGAUGGAGCAACGCCGCGUGAGUGAAGAAGGUUUUCGGAUCGUAAAGCUCUGUUGUUGGUGAAGAAGGAUAGAGGUAGUAACUGGCCUUUAUUUGACGGUAAUCAACCAGAAAGUCACGGCUAACUACGUG
rnacentral:rRNA from 1 species